rnacentral:rRNA from 1 species
GACGAACGCUGGCGGCAGGCUUAACACAUGCAAGUCGAACGGACCUUUCGGGGUGAGUGGCAGACGGGUGCGUAACGCGUGGGAAUCUACGCUUCUCUACGGGAUAGCUCCGGGAAACUGGAAUUAAUACCGUAUACGUCCUGAGGGAGAAAGAUUUGUCGGGGAAGGAUGAGCCCGCGUUGGAUUGGCUAGUUGGUGGGGUAAAGGCCUACCAAGGCGACGAUCCAUAGCUGGUCUAAGAGGAUGAUCAGCCACAUUGGGACUGAGACACGGCCCAAACUCCUACGGGAGGCAGCAGUGGGGAAUAUUGGACAAUGGGCGCAAGCCUGAUCCAGCCAUGCCGCGUGAGUGAUGAAGGCCCUAGGGUUGUAAAGCUCUUUCAGUGGGGACGAUAAUGACGGUACCCACAGAAGAAGCCCCGGCUAACUUCGUG